UACGUAGGAGGCGAGCGUUGUCCGGAUUUAUUGGGCGUAAAGAGCUCGUAGGCGGUUGGGUAAGUCGGGUGUGAAAACUCCAGGCUCAACUUGGAGAUGCCACCCGAUACUGCUCUGACUUGAGUUCGGUAGGGGAGUGGGGAAUUCCUGGUGUAGCGGUGAAAUGCGCAGAUAUCAGGAGGAACACCGGUGGCGAAGGCGCCACUCUGGGCCGAAACUGACGCUGAGGAGCGAAAGCGUGGGUAGCAAACAGG
rnacentral:rRNA from 1 species